UUACCCAAGCUGGAGUGCAAUGGCGUGAUCUCGGCUCACCGCAACCUCCGUCUCCUGGGUUCAGGCAAUUCUCCUGCCUCAGCCUCCUGAGUAGCUGGGAUUACAGGCAUGCGCCACCGUGCCCAGCUAAUUUUUUGUAUUUUUAGUAGAGAUGGGUUUCCCCAUGUUGACCAGGAUGGUCUCGAUCUCUUAACCUCGUGAUCCACCCACCUCGGCCUCCCAAAGUGCUGGGAUUACAGGCGUGAGCCACCACGCCCGGCCAAUACAUUGUUAUUACUGUAGUCACCAUGUUGUAUGACGAAUCGUUUGAAUUUAUUCCUCCUGUCUAACAGAAAUGUUAUGCCUUUUGACCAACACAUUCAAAUCUCCCCUGUCUUUUCAAAGCCACUGAUAACUACCAUUCCAUUCUCUACUUCUGAGUUGCCUUUUAAAGGUGAAAAGUGACAGGUAUGUGCAAUGAUGCAUAUGUUGAUUAGCUUGAUUUAGCCAUUUCCCAAUGUAUAUUUUUAAACAUGUGUAAAUAAUAAAUAUAUACAAUUUUUAUUUGUCAACUAGAAAAUAACUGUGGGAAAAAUCACAAAUUAUUAAAACAAUCAGUAAGUGAGAUUUAUAAUGCGUUUGGUAGUAUACAUUUUCCCUUCCUGGGGAUGGCACAUAUUGGCCUCAAUUUGUUUGUAACACUAAUUUUUUGAUGCGAGUAUUUAAAAUCUAGUGUCCUUUGAAUAAUAUGAGUGUUCUUAAUUCUCCUCAAGUCAAAAUCAUACCAAACUAUUAAUAUUCAGCACAAGUUCCCAAUUGCUCCCAAGUCAUCUUGUACCUAUAAAUAUAGUUUUUCUCUUGCUCCACUGAAAUCAAUCAUCUCUCCUUUAUUUCUCCACAGAGCAUGUUCUAUCAUCCUCCAAAGUUAUUUGUGAGAAUGUGUCACCCUCUUGUCAGACAUCUGAGAGCCACGCACAUGCAGGCUAAGUCCGGAAGCCCCAGAACCCAGACCAGACAGUUUUCCAUUAUCUCAGGCUUAGGUAAAAUCCCUUCCCUUGGGAGGCUGAGGCAGGAAGAGGUCAGGAGAUUGAGAUCACCCUGGCCAACAUGGUGAAAACCCAACUCUACUAAAAAUAUAAAAAUUAGCUGGGCAUGGUGGCAUGUGCCUGUAGUCCCAGCUACUUGGGAGACUGAGGCAUGAGAAUCACUUGAACCAGGGAGUCGGAGGCUGCAGUAAGUUGAGAUCCCGCCAAUGCACUCCAGCCUGGUGACAGAGUGACACUCUGUCUCAAAACAAAACAAAACGAAAUUCCUUCCCAACCAAAGUCUCAGGCAAACUUAGUAAAGUGAAACAAGAAUAUAAUUUGCACUUUUCUGUUUUUGGCACUCCAUUACUCUUCCUCUGUGAUCACACCUGGUGAUCUCUCAUCUCUCAACAGUUGUGUAACCUCCUACCCUGGCAAUUUACCUGGGAAGGUCCUCUUUAAGUAAGACAAAUAUAUCACCUUUCAUUUCAACACUCUGAGACUGAAAGGGACACUAAUAGAAACUGUGACAGGCAUAAACCAGAACUGUCCUGGACACGCAAGAUGUAUCGUCAUCCCAUCUAGUGAAAAACUACGAAUCUGAAGUAUAGCCUUAUUAGCCUUUUCAAAUAGUAUCUCAGAAUCAGUCCUCGGAAAACGAAGGCUCAAGAGUCAGACAGAAAUGAGCUCGAACUCACUUCUACUACUCAUGGCCUGCAAAAUAAUUUAAAACCUUCCAAGAGCAGUUAUCUCAUCUCCAAACUUUGGACUCUACCACCCUCCUGAGAAGAAACUCUGAGGUCGUUGUGAAGACUAAACUUGUUCAUAGUUCUCAAGAGAUGGGGAGAAAACAGCUUGAAAUCUUGUUACCUUUCAUGAGUUUCAAGGUCUGUCCUGGGUAACUACUAUGUGAAGUUUUCUCUGAAUGCCAAGCCUUGCAGGCGGACAUCUAUAAGGAGUCUGGUGGGAACAACUGCUGGAGUCCUCCCAGAUCCCAUCCCUGCCAGACAGUCACACUGAGGAUGUUGGCAACAGACUCAGAGGCUUGGCCCUUCUCAGCUUUAGGGAAUCAAGCAGACAUUUUCUCCUGAUCUAUUGCAGUGAAAAUUUACAUGAAUAUAUUUACUAAUAUUAAAUUUAUAUUUCUGUGAACACAAUACUUGUAUAUGUUAUCCUUUUAAUACAUUGAUAGAGUAGAUUUAUCAUUUUUCUUUUAUUUUUACAAUUAUAUUGAUGCAUAAAAUUGGUUCAAAAUUUUCUUCUUAAUGAUGUUUGUAUUAGUUUCCUGGCACACCAUAACUAAGUACCACUAACUGAGUGUUUUAAAACAACAAAAGUUCAUCGUCGCACAGUUCUGGAGGCCGGAAAUUUGACACUGAGGUGUUGCAGGAUCACAGUCUCUCAAAGCUGUGGGGCAAAUGCCUUUCUCUUCGCCUUCAGCAUCUCCAGCAAUCUUUGGCGUUCCUUGUUUUGCAGCGACAUAACUCCAAUCUCGCCACCAUCUUCACAAAAGAUUUCCCCUGUGUAUCUGUCUUCACAUCAUUUUCAUUUUCCUUUUAUUCUUUAUUUAAUUAUUUUUUGAGCCUUGCUGUAUCACUCAAACUGGAGUGGAGUGGCACAAUCAUGGCUCACUGCAACCUCCACCUCCAGGGUUUCAGUGAUCCUCCUGCUUCAGCCUCCCAAGUAGCUGCUAUUACAGGCACCUGCCAUCACGCCUGGCUAAUUUUUUAUAUUUUUACUAGAGACAGGGUCUCACCAUGCUGGCCAGGCUGAUCUCGAACUCCUGACCUCAAGUGAUCCAUCCACCAUGGCCUCCCAACAUUUUCCUUUUGUUCUAAAGACACCUGCCACACUGGACUAAGGCCCUAACCUACUGCAGUACGACCUUACCUUAAAUUAACUAAUUCUAUCUGCAAUUACUUGAUUUCCAAAUAAUUGCAUUCCGAGGUACUGGGGAUUAGAAUUUCAACAUCUCUUUUUGGAGAAACAAUUUAAUACAUAACAAUGUCUUUUUCAUCUUGGAAAUUAGUGUUAUGUGACUUUAAUGGCAAAAAACAGCAAGUAUUCCACUUUUACAAUCUAAAAUGCCUGCCAUGUAGUACAGCGCAGACUAAGCCUUACAAGUCUGUGUAAAGCCACAUAUUAAACUUUCUAAGCCCAGCUUUUUACAGGCAGCCUGCUCAAAUGUGAAGCAUAGU